GGAUUUUCACAUGCAGAUUUCUCUUCGAGCGCGCGGUUCAUAUGGUAAGCACCGGUGUCCAGGAAGCCGUGCAGAAUCUGAGACAGGCGAGAACCAAGCUUCUCAGAGUCCCCCUCUCCCUGCCCCCACCCCCGCCCGCCAAAGUCUGCAAGAAGACACCAAGGCCAAGUGCAGACCAUCAUUUCAGCUUUCGUUCCGGACUUCUGAAUAAAUCUGCGAUCAGAGCAAAGACCGGUUUCCCUGUGGGGAAAAUGCCUAGAACGUUCGGUGGACCCUCACCUGGGCAUGAGUUUCACCCUCACAAGUAACCGCCAGGACAAGUGAGCACAGACAGCCGGCAGGAUCCUGCCCGGGCUUGGACGAUUUCCUUACGGGUCCAAGAUGGCUGCCAUGGUUCCAAGCAUCCCUGAGGAUGACCAAUUGGAGGCACCAGAGAAUCUGUGUAUGAGUCUCUUUAAGGUAGUCCCAUGCCCGUCCACGGUCACUGGCAAAGGGAUGGAGUUACAGGGGGUGUGCACCAGUUAUGAUUCACCCCCAUGGCUGUUCCUGGAAGCACAUGGCCAUUCGACACCUGGACAGAAUGAAAGAAGUGAAGAAAUGAGUGUUGGCUAGAAGCCCCAAGCCUGCCACUCCCUGGGAGCAGAACACCUUUAGCUGAGGAAUAUGCUCAGAACUAUUCUGAGGCCACAGAAGCCAAGAAAGAAGAGAUUCCGGAAAGAUACCAUGAUAAUAAUAAUAAAAAAAAAAUUAACUGGUGAAAUUGGAAUACGAUGUAUAGUUUAGCUAACAGUAUUGUGCUAAUGUCGAUGUCCCGGUUUGGUAAUUGUGCUAUAGUUAGAUACAGAAGAUGCUAGCAUCAGGAGAAACCAGGGAAAGGGUCCAUAAUGACUCAGUGCUAUUUUUGCAAUUUUCUAUCAGUCUACAAUUAUUAAAAAACAAGGUUUUAUUUGAAUUUUUCAAAAGUUUAUUUAUUUGGAGAGAG